UGGGGAAUUUUGGACAAUGGGCGAAAGCCUGAUCCAGCAAUGCCGCGUGUGUGAAGAAGGCCUUCGGGUUGUAAAGCACUUUUGUCCGGAAAGAAAUCCUUGGCUCUAAUACAGUCGGGGGAUGACGGUACCGGAAGAAUAAGCACCGGCUAACUACGUGCCAGCAGCCGCGGUAAUACGUAGGGUGCAAGCGUUAAUCGGAAUUACUGGGCGUAAAGCGUGCGCAGGCGGUUUGCUAAGACCGAUGUGAAAUCCCCGGGCUCAACCUGGGAACUGCAUUGGUGACUGGCAGGCUAGAGUAUGGCAGAGGGGGGUAGAAUUCCACGUGUAGCAGUGAAAUGCGUAGAGAUGUGGAGGAAUACCGAUGGCGAAGGCAGCCCCCUGGGCCAAUACUGACGCUCAUGCACGAAAGCGUGGGGAGCAAACAGGAUUAGAUACCCUGGUAGUCCACGCCCUAAACGAUGUCAACUAGUUGUUGGGGAUUCAUUCUAGUAACGUAGCUAACGCGUGAAGUUGACCGCCUGGGGAGUACGGUCGCAAGAUUAAACUCAAUGAAUUGACGGGGUCAUAGCUGUUUCCU
rnacentral:rRNA from 1 species